CUUCUCUCUGUUUUGUCUCUAAUCUGAAGAUGGAAGACACACCAGGAGAAGGUGGUCUCCUAUUGACUGAAACACAGAACAGGGACACCUGUGAGAUCGCAUUUCUGAGGUGUGCUGAAUGCCAUUGAAGCUCAUUGACUCCUUGAAUCAUCACCUCAUGCAAACACACCUCAGAAGAUCAAAAAGCUGCAGGCUGUGAUCUUCCUGAGAGGAUCUGCAGAUGGCUGCCAUUUAUCUAGACAGAUGAACUCAUUAACAGGAGAAGGAGAAGCAGAGACACACGGACUGACAUUUCUACUGUGUGGUUUGAAUCUACAGUGUAAUGCCCAGGGUCUCUACUGCCCUUGGGAUGCUCAUCUGUGCAGUGGUUUCACAGUGUCAAAAAAUUCAAGAAGUACUUCAAAUUCUGAACAGGUAUAUUCAAACUUUUUCUGUGAUAAAAGGUAUAAAUGCUGAAGACAUCUGAAGUGACUUUUGGUGGGUUUCUACAAAAAUCAGAACAUUUUUGAACUCUUUAUC
rnacentral:lncRNA from 1 species